rnacentral:lncRNA from 1 species
UAGACAUACAGGGCACCAGUUUCUCGCUCAGAGUGUCACUAUCCUAAGCCUUAGAGGCCUGGAGGCAGACAGACAGGAGUUCCGGUCCUUCAUUGUGGUUUCCAGCCAAGCUUCAAAGACACUUUCUGCUACUCUCGGGUUCCAGAAUGAGGAAAACCUGGUUGCCACAUGUUCAGUUUGCCUAUAAUACAGCCCUAAAUGCCAAGUUUACUGUGUGUCUGGCAGUUGAUAGUGACAAAAGACCAACACAUGAUUCUUGGGCUGUCUAAUUAUCAGUUUUUCCCUUGGCUUUUACCCCUCCACACCUCCUUGGAUGACAUAAAUGUUAAGAAACAUAGACCCAGGAGAAUAGAAGAGAACAUCAGAGACAAAGAGAAGAGACAAGGUGUCAUUGUGUUCAUGUGUUGGCUAGGUUUAUGGAAAGGCAUCCUGUGGCCUUGGUUGUGUUUAUGGAAGAACAUCCUGUGUAUCACCAACAAAGAGGAAAAGAUAGUGUCUCAGUCUGACGAACUCCUGCCCUCUUCCCUUCAUCUCUCAUGUUUUGGGAUGUACCACCACACCCAGAGGUUUUCUUUUCCCCUUCAGUGCUAAGAAUUGAAUCUGGAGUCCCAAGCACACUGGAAAGUUCUUUACCAGUGAACAUCUUCAUCCUCCUGUGAUGUGACAAUUAGGGGAGGGGUUGCAGAAUAUAAUCAAAAGAGUCCUGGAUUCUUACCUGAAGUUUACAGCCGAC